UCCAACUUAUCGCUGGCGGUCUCCUGAGAGUGCUUCCCUUACGGGAGUGGCAACACAGGACAAGGGUUGCGCUCGUUGCGGGACUUAACCCAACAUGUCACCACACGAGCUGACGACAGCCAUGCAGCACCUGUCUUCUGGUCGUAUUGCUACGAAAGACGUAUCUCUACGUUUGUCCAGAGAUGUCAAACCCAGGUAAGGUUCUUCGCGUUGCUUCGAAUUAAACCACAUGAUCCACCGCUUGUGCGGGCCCCCGUCAAUUCCUUUGAGUUUUAGUCUUGCGACCGUACUUCCCAGGCGGGGUACUUAGUGCGUUAGCGCCGGUUCAGCAGGGGUCAAGACCCGCCAAACCUAGUACCCAUCGUUUACAGCGUGGACUAC
rnacentral:misc_RNA from 1 species